AUUGAACGCUGGCGGCAGGCCUAACACAUGCAAGUCGAACGGUAACAGGAAGCAGCUUGCUGCUUCGCUGACGAGUGGCGGACGGGUGAGUAAUGUCUGGGAAGCUGCCUGAUGGAGGGGGAUAACUACUGGAAACGGUAGCUAAUACCGCAUAAUGUCGCAAGACCAAAGAGGGGGACCUUCUGGCCUCUUGCCAUCGGAUGUGCCCAGAUGGGAUUAGCUUGUUGGGGGGGUAACGGCUCCCCAAGGCGACGAUCCCUAGCUGGUCUGAGGGGAGGAACAGGCACUGAGAGAGUGAGACGCGGUACAGACACCUAGGGGAGGCAGAAGCGGGGAAUAUUGCAAAAAGGGGGCAAGCCUGAUGCAGCCAUGCAGCGUGUAUGAAGAAGGCCUGCGGGUUGUAAAGUACUUUCAGCGGGGAGGAAGGGAGUAAAGUUAAAACCUUUGCUCAUUGACGUUACCCGCAGAAGGAGCACCGGCUAACUCCGU
rnacentral:rRNA from 1 species